UAAUGCUCCAUAGUGGAUAUGUCCUGGAAUGGUAUAUCCUCGAAAGAUCCGUCGCCUUAGGAUGGGACUGCGUCCGAUUAGGUUGUUGGCGGGGUAACGGCCCACCAAGCCAUUGAUCGGUACGGGUUGUGGGAGCAAGAUCCCGGAGAUGGAUUCUGAGACAUGAAUCCAGGCCCUACGGGGCGCAGCAGGCGCGCAAACUUUACAAUGCGAGCAAUCGUGAUAAGGAAACCCUGAGUGCCUGUCGAUGCAGGCUGUUCAUAUAUCUAAAUCAUAUGUGAAGGAAGGGCAGGGCAAGACCGGUGCCAGCCGCCGCGGUAAUACCGGCUGCUCGAGUGAUGGCCACUAUUACUGGGUUUAAAGCGUCCGUAGCUUGACUGUUAGGUCUCUUGGGAAAUCUUCACGCUCAACGUGAAGGCGUCUAAGAGAUACCGGCAGUCUUGGAACUGGGAGAGGUAAACCGUACUUCGGGGGUAGGAGUGAAAUCUUGUAAUCCUCGAGGGACGACCUAUGGCGAAGGCAGUUUACCAAAACAGCUUCGACAGUGAGGGACGAAAGCUGGGGGAACAAACGGGAUUAAUACCCCGGUAGUCCCAGCCGUAAACAAUGUGCGUUAGGUGU
rnacentral:rRNA from 1 species